UACGAAGGGGGCUAGCGUUGCUCGGAAUCACUGGGCGUAAAGCGCACGUAGGCGGAUUGUUAAGUCAGGGGUGAAAUCCUGGAGCCCAACUCCAGAACUGCCUUUGAUACUGACGGUCCUGAGUUCGGGAGAGGUGAGUGGAACUGCGAGUGUAGAGGUGAAAUUCGUAGAUAUUCGCAAGAACACCAGUGGCGAAGGCGGCUCACUGGCCCGAUACUGACGCUGAGGUGCGAAAGCGUGGGGAGCAAACAGG
rnacentral:rRNA from 1 species